GCGUCGGGUGUCCGCGCCGAGCGCACGCACGCCCUGUUACCGCCAGUUCGAAUCGUGCUUAAAUUCUAUAACUUGUUGUGUAAACUAAUCCUGGCAUGUUUCCCCUUGUCACCCUUUGACCAUUUCCAAGUUUUAAGUGAAUCGAGUGAUUGGUGAAAACUUUGGUGGAAUGAAAUGUUGAUAAACAGUUUUUAUUGGCUUGUACAACUUAUGUUAUGAUGGACACCAUUGGAACAAUUUAUUAAUUGUGUUUUCUAAAAGAUUCAACAUGUAUGGGACGUCAACGGCGUCGACGACGUCGGGCUCCCGCGGGGCGAGCGUGGCCGUGGACCGGCGCAUGCGCGUGGUGCGCCUGAUGCGUGCGCGCCGUGCCGCGCCCGCCUUUGGUUUCUCGCUGCGCGGGGGCCGGGAGUACGCCACGGGUUUCUUCGUCUCCAAAGUGGAAUUCAACUCCGAAGCUCACCUGCAAGGACUCAAGGUGGGCGACCAACUGGUGAGCGUGAACGGCUACCGGGUGGACGAUGCCGUGCACGGCGAGCUGGUCCACUACCUCGCGUCACAGUCACGCCUCAAGAUCAAAGUCAGACAUGUGGGAAUGGUACCAAUAAAAGACAAAGCCCAUGAGUCGCUGUCGUGGCAGUACGUGUCAGACCGCGCGUCGCUGGGCUCCGACGUGUCGUCGUCGCCGACGCUGUGCCACGACACGGAGCGUAUGGCCGACCUGCGACUGUCUAUCCUGGUUCCGCCGAGGGCCAAACUGGGUUGCGGGAUCUGCAAGGGGCCCGAGUGGAAGCCUGGCAUCUUCGUUCAGUUUGUGCGCGAGAAUGGGAUCGCGCGAGAGGCGGGCUUGAGGCCGGGGGACCAGAUACUGGCGUGCAAUGGACAGGAUUUUGCCAACGUUUCUUUUAAUGAUGCUAUAUCAGCCAUGAAAGCAUCGGGCCGGCUGGAGCUGCUUAUCCGCGAAGGAGCCGGCACCGAGCUGGUGUCCCCGGAGAGUUCUGGCUACAACAGCUCAGCGUCAUCGGCCGCAGGGGAGCGGAGUCCCGCGCCGGUCGCUCACGUCCCCCUGGCGCCACCGGCGGCGUUGAGACGGCGGCUCGCCAGUGUGGCGGAGGAGGCUGCCGAUCGCGCUGACAGACUGAAUAUGAAUCGAAUGAAGCGGCGGACAUGGGAUAGUUUAGAUUUCGACUGGAAGAACAUGGACAUUCACAACUUCGACGCACCAUCAGACAUAGAACCUGAUUACGAUUGCCCUAGUAUACCAAAUAAUCCCCACACAUACGAAAAUAAAAGUAACAUUAGGAAAAAUAAUAUUAAUAAGAAAGAAAUAAUUAGCAGCCCAUCAAAUAGAACUAUAAUUAAUUUAACUGAAGACGGUGCCACAAUACAAUGUAGUUACGAAAAUCAAUCUCCUAGGAAAAGUACAUUUUCUGCUAAUCAGUCGAAUAGGGAUAAUGACAAAAAAACCAUAGUGGUCGAGGUGCAUCACACGAGCGCGCCGGCUUGUGGCAAACCACAUUGCAACUACCCGCCUCCAAUGAAGAAAGACCUUAGCUCUGACACUACAAGCAUUUCUAGUUGUGGGACGCUAUCGAGUGCUAUCGCCGAAGAAAUACAGAAAAGGAAAUUGAACAAGAAGAACUCGAAUCCAGACAACAGCCUACCUUUAAGUCUUAUAAAGAAGGCGAGCUUACCGUUACCGACCGACGACAAGAAGAAGCAGCAUGAUGCUCUGAUGGACGAGUUCAAGAAGGUUCACCGGAAGAUGUUCUCGGGACAGGACCCCGGCGAAGCAGUGGAGGCUGAGAACAACGAUGUUGACAGUUUGGAUCGCCAGCAAACGCUACCGCUGAGGAAGAUAGAAGCUCAAUCGGAAAUAUUAACAAACGGACACCAGCAGGCGAAACGAGAAGUUACCAACGGAAAUACGCAGCAAAUACGCGAAACUUACAACGGGCACGUUCAACAAAAACGCGAUACAGCGAACGGGCAAUUAAGCGAAGCUUUGAACGGGCACAUUGUACAAAAACGCGAAGAAUUCAAUGGGUUUCAGCAAAAGCGGGAAUUCGCGAAUGGACAACCGCAUUCUAAUGGGCAUGUGCAGCAAAAACGAGAAGCCGCGGACAACCCUCCUCCACCACCGCCGAUGCCAGCGGUGAAUGGUCAACAGAACGGAGAACAUAAAAAACUAGACAUAUCGAAAUCGUAUCCAAAAACACUUAACACAGAUCUGGUUAACUCUUUGAACCAAAGAAAUGGUUCGUUGGCACGAACGCCGACGCCCGACUACAAUAACAAGACAGACUUUAAGACACAAUUUAAAUUGAAGAGCGUGAAAGAUGACAAGGCCGAGCUGGACUCGCUAGAGUCGUAUACAUUAAAGAAUCCCGCUAACGUGCAACCAAAGCCGCCAUCGAAUUAUUUUGUGAAAGCGCCGAACGGGACAGCUACGAUGAAGAAACACCUGAGGCCGGUGUCUGUCACGAUAGGAGAGUACGCGGGAGGCGGGAACAGCCGGCGCGAACCUUCCAAGCUGGAGUUCCUCAAUGGUGACAAACCAGAUGGGCCCGUGCCGGCAGACGAUGAUGAACAUAUUUCCAAUAGACUUCAGUCCGAGUUAGCGCUCACACUUUCUAGGUCCAAUUUACGCAAAAAGACUGACGCAUUGGGUUAUCAGAUAGGUCCAGAUAUCCAGAGAGUAGAUAACAACGAAGAUAGUGAUUGGUCUAUUGACAAAAAUUUUCACGCCAGAUAUGGAAACAAUCUAUUGCCUCUACCACCGAGCAUAACAAUACCCAAAGUAUCAAAAGUAAAGCAUUGAGAGGCGUUACAAAUAUCUUCAAAUUUUGUUCUUGCGUCAUUAUCCAUUGUCUUUUACACAAUGGUGAUUUAUUUAUAUGCCAACGCAGGUCGAUGAUUUGAAGAUCACUGUUAUUUGUGAUUUUACAAUUAGUUUAAUUUGUGUGUAUUAUGUCACAUAAUUUUUAAUACAGAAAAGUAUGUAUAAUUGUCUUAAUAUUUGUAAAUAAAAUAAUAUGUUUUAAUACUAACUUAAUAAUUCAAAAGUUUCGAAGAUGAAAUUGCCAUUAACUGUUUUAAAAAAGCGUAUUUAAUAAAUCAAGUUAAUUUAAUUUAUUGCUGCUUUAGAAUAUGCAUAGACACUGAACAGUGCAUUGCCAAAGUUAUUCUCACAAUAGUUUGAAGUCAAUCUAAAACUGUAUGGAUACAGACUAGGUUCAGUCAAUGUUAUAUGUAUAGCUAUUUGUUUUACAAGGGGCAAAGUUGUUGCCUUGAAACCCUCGCAACGCCUAGAUUACAUUUUUCGAAACACUCGCUAACUUGUCACUUUUCAUAUCGAGCGCUAGACAGGCACCUAUAUCAUUGUGUAACUUUUUAAUUUAGGUUCCUAAGAAUUUUCUUUUCUAUUGAUAAAAAAAUUUGCUCAUGUAAAGUAUGUAAUGUAUUUGUAUGUAAAGUAGGUAACUUUAGGUCGGUCUUUGGUAUAAUAUGUAAGACACUACUAUACCUACCUACUUUUUAAUUGUGAAAUGUUUAUUUAAAAUAUAUGUCCAGCUUAGUAGAGGUGUACCUAAGUAUGUGUGUCUACUUGUCUAGUUUAAAUAAUCGUCAAAUGUUUUAGUGCGAAUUUACUGUCUAAUUUUACGAACUAC